UAAACGUUAUCUGAAUUUCUAGGAGCUUAAACAGCAUUGAAAAGAUCCACUCGUGUGACAUUCAUCCUCUGCAGAGAUGAGAAAAAGAUUUCACCAACUCCAUUGGGAGCCAUGAGAUAUGGAGGCCUUCUGAUGUGCAGCAAAGAGAAAAUUAAACAGCCCACAAGAUGAAAUAGCACGCUUCUCGUCAAGAGAAAACCACCAUGUCUUCUGCUAGUUAACACAUGUUGGCUUGCAGGGAUGGGGGUGCAGAAAUCAGACACCUUUCUUGUUGCUCUGAUUCAAGCAUUGGGCUCAGUUUGACUUUUCAACUUG